rnacentral:tRNA from 1 species
CAUUAAGUAACUUAAAGUAAGUAAAGGUCUCUUAAACCUAACAAUAAUAAAUUAACACAUAUUCUUAAUGA